CCACUCCUUUGAACAACCAUCACAAAAUGCCUCACUUCACUCCAAUGCUUCAAAUUCCUUUAUCACAAAUCAGCAACACUUCACAAACGAAUAAAGGCAACGCAUCAUACACACUUUUUUUGUAUAAACGCUUCUCUUCGCAGAAAAAGAACCACGCCUUCUAACAACAAUACUCCAAUGCUUCAUAUAUAUUCCUUAUACAACAAUCAGGCAACUAUUUUUAACGGAUGUUUGCAUAUUGGUAACACUAACAUCAGGACAUAGCAAGUGGAGAGGGACAAUAGUUACAAAUGAGUAUGUUUGCAUGUUAGUAACAUUAACAUCACCUAUUUAAGAAGGACAGAGCGGGUGGAGGGAGACAAUAAUUACAAAUGAAAGAUAUGUAAGUUAAAAUUAUGCCAGUUUUCAUGAGUAAUAUUCGUUUGAUGUGCUAUAUAUACUGCUCCGUUCAUGUAAUUUACGCAAAUAGUAAUUCUAACAUACAUGUAUGCUUACACAAGUAUUGUUUUAUUUGAAUAUUUCACCUAAAAAGACGGUGAAUUCUUGAAAAAAUGAAAUAAGAUAAGCUAAUGCUUGGAUGCUAUCAAGUAUGUGCGAUGAUAAAUAAAUCAAAGGUUUAAACAAGUCAUCAUGUUGGAUUCUAUUUUUCCUUUUGAUUAUUCAUCUUUGUAGUUUUAGACGAUACUCAAUCAUGACCUUGACAAACAAUUUAGUAAAUGACCAGUCAUAAAAAUUAUACGUUAUCCUUUAUUUAUAUUUUU